rnacentral:rRNA from 1 species
GUCUCAGUUCGGAUUGAAGGCUGAAAUUACGCCUUCAUGAAGCUGGAAUUGCUAGUAAUGGCAGGUCAGCAUACUGCCGUGAAUACGUUCCCGGGCCCUUGUACACACCGCCCGUCACACCAUGAGAGUUGGGGAUACCCGAAGCCUGUGAGCUAACUGUAAAGAGGCAGCAGUCGAAGGUAGAAUCAAUGAUUGGGGUGAAGUCGUAACAAGGUACC